UGGUGUGAGUGAUCUUUUGACCUGCGAUGUUAUCGACUAUUUGCAAUGAGGCUAUUGAGUUUGACUGCACAUUCCCUUAGUCCCUAGCCAUUUGGGUCCUUAUUAUAUAUGUUGGCUACAGUAGGUUCAGAUUCACUAUUUGGAGUAGGAUGCACCUACAUAGAAUCUAUCGACCUUAGUAGAAAAGGAGAAGUCCUAUGCGAUUUAUGAGACUGAGUUCAAAAAGUCUUUGACCAAAGCAAGUAUGAAUACUAAAAAAGAGUAUCCA
rnacentral:lncRNA from 1 species